UUGAAAGGGAAACGAUUGAAGUCAGUCAUGCCAGCGGGAAUCAACUUAGGGGAAACUUUAAGUGCACUUCACGUUUGGCAGGUCAGCGUCGAUUUUGGAUAUCAUAAAAUGAUCGGGGGAAGGUAGCUCCUUCGGGAGUGUUAUAGCCCUUGGUAGAUGUGAUGUCUGGGAUCGAGGAUUGCAACGGAUACCCUUUGGGCUAGCCGCCUGAUCUCUAACUGGUGUUGGGUUACGGACAGCAUGCUGACCGUGAUUUAAUUGCUGGUUAAAAGGUUAGAGCGACUGUAACUUCUUUGAAGAUGUUGACGUAAA
rnacentral:rRNA from 1 species